AGGGAGUAUUACUCCCUGGGGAUAUUUUAUAUAUCUCUGCUCAUCAUGCGACAUCUCGUGAUCCAGAAAGUAGUUAAGAAUUCAUCGACAUCGACUUUGUAAUUUGUACUAUGGAUCGUUACAAGUCAGUAAAACACAAAAGUCCAGUGAAUUACUUUGGAUGGCUAUUCUGCAACUGUCCUUUCGGUUUUCACUUUGUUUGGGAGAAUAAUUCAAUAGGCAUGGCCGAUUCAUCGAUCUACGCACAGUGAAUUUGUUAAACGUCCCAUUAUAAAAACGAUCCUCUGGUUCAAAUCGAUGUGUACCGUGAGAUUUGAAAUUAAAAAUAUAAUUUUAAUAAAAAUCGAAACUGAUUUGGAGAAAUCUUGAAGAUCUCAAUUAGAAUUUCUAAAGAAGUUUAUAUUGAAUAUCAAACUGUUCUAUAUUUGUUAAUAGAACGUUUAUAAUUCAACGAGGGUUCACUAAACUGUUACUGUGCCGGUUUGCUGCAGUUUCAACCGCCCACGUAGGUUCUUAUGGAUUUUUUCGAGCAGCGCAGUUUUCCGGUUUAUGCAUUACGCAUAUAUAUAGUCACUGUCUCUGUUCGACAACAGUUGAGUCCGGGUUAAAACUCGUGUGCUACGUUAUUACGAGCCUGUGCACCAUUCGCAAUUCCAAGCUUCUUUGCUUUCCUCCUGCAAUGACCAUAUAUUUGAAAGAGACAAGGGAACGGAUAUAUGUAUAAUGGUAUUUAGGUCAAUGUUACGUCCUUAUAAGCAAUAACCAGAGGCAGUGGUUACCCUUGUCGGAACAGACUCACCGACUAUAGGAAGUCGUCGUUUUUCAGCUUAUUCUGAAUAAUGCAUACACAACGUUAGGGAACUAAGAUCACAAGUCAUCAAACGAUUCAGUGGUAAUAUUCAUAAGCUGGCGAGAUGGUCUUCUGAUAAACUGGAACAGCAGCAUGGGCAAUCGUUGGUGCAAAAGCUUUUCCGACCACCGGUACAGAGCUGUGAACCUGAACAUGAUCGAGGCGCGCUGUUUUUAUGAGAGCAGGUUGUGCCUCAAUUUUCGUGACUGGCACAUGAGAGACAGUUGGCACGUGUUUGACGUAUGGUACAGCAGCCACUGCUGGCACUUGGGCAGCGGCAUAUCCAAUGUGUUCUGCUUCAACUUUAGCGGGAACACUAUAUGCAAGCUGUGCCUCUUGUCCGAUAUUAUUUAUAGGAGAUCCUGGUCCUUAAGUCCGGUCGUCAAGUGAUCAUUUCAGCCUUGCUCAAUAUCUAUGUAUGUAUAUGUACCAAGGUCGGGCGUUGAUCAAAGGAAUAACGAUCGAUAUUUUCAUGCUCUCGAUCCAGAUGAAAAUGUUGCGCAACUUUAUGUAUACCCUAAACCGGUAAUUCGUUCGUACCCUAUCUCGCUUUUACUCGUUUAUUACAUAUACUUUAAUAUGCGCGAUAAAUCUCUUUAUACCCAGUAAUUACCUAAAAAAAUACUCUUCUUACAGAUAGAGAUGAUGUUUUCAGCGAAAGAAGUACUGUGUGAGUCCUUACGUACGAUAUGCAUCGGAAGAUGAAGAAAUAAUACAAAGUGCUGGAGUCAGGUUACUGAUACACAUUCGUGCUUAAUAAAAAAGUCUAUAAAACCUG